UACGUAGGGUGCAAGCGUUGUCCGGAAUUAUUGGGCGUAAAGAGCUUGUAGGCGGUUUGUCGCGUCUGCUGUGAAAUUUCGGGGCUCAACCCCGAACUUGCAGUGGGUACGGGCAGACUAGAGUGUGGUAGGGGAGACUGGAACUCCUGGUGUAGCGGUGAAAUGCGCAGAUAUCAGGAGGAACACCGAUGGCGAAGGCAGGUCUCUGGGCCACUACUGACGCUGAGAAGCGAAAGCAUGGGGAGCGAACAGG
rnacentral:rRNA from 1 species